UACGUAGGGUGCAAGCGUUGUCCGGACUUAUUGGGCGUAAAGGGCUCGUAGGCGGUUUGUCGCGUCGGGAGUGAAAACCUCGGGCUUAACUCGGGGCUUGCUUUCGAUACGGGCAGACUAGAGGUAUGCAGGGGAGAACGGAAUUCCUGGUGUAGCGGUGAAAUGCGCAGAUAUCAGGAGGAACACCGGUGGCGAAGGCGGUUCUCUGGGCAUGAUCUGACGCUGAGGAGCGAAAGUGUGGGGAGCGAACAGG
rnacentral:rRNA from 1 species